rnacentral:rRNA from 1 species
UACGUAGGGUGCAAGCGUUGUCCGGAAUUAUUGGGCGUAAAGAGCUCGUAGGUGGCCUGUCGCGUCGGCUGUGAAAACUCGGGGCUCAACUCCGAGCUUGCAGUCGAUACGGGCAGGCUAGAGUUCGGCAGGGGGAGACUGGAAUUCCUGGUGUAGCGGUGAAAUGCGCAGAUAUCAGGAGGAACACCGGUGGCGAAGGCGGGUCUCUGGGCCGAUACUGACACUGAGGAGCGAAAGCGUGGGGAGCGAACAGG